rnacentral:tRNA from 1 species
UCCCUGGUGGCUCAGAUGGUAAAGAAUCUGCCUGCAAUGCAGGAGACCCAGGUUCAAUCCUUGGAUCGGGAA